rnacentral:rRNA from 1 species
UACGGGGGGGGCAAGCGUUGUUCGGAAUUACUGGGCGUAAAGGGCUCGUAGGCGGCCAACUAAGUCAGACGUGAAAUCCCUCGGCUUAACCGGGGAACUGCGUCUGAUACUGGAUGGCUUGAGUUUGGGAGAGGGAUGCGGAAUUCCAGGUGUAGCGGUGAAAUGCGCAGAUAUCAGGAGGAACACCGGUGGCGAAGGCGGGACUCUGGGCUGAUACUGACGCUGAGGAGCGAAAGCGUGGGGAGCAAACAGG